AUAUUUUUGUCUAUGCUUAUCCUUAUUUUCCUACCUGUGCUGUGGCCAGGAGGAUGUACAGAACCAAACAACGUACAGGUUUGGUGAUGAUGGGACGUCAGAGGAACACUCGGAUGCAUAGAAACACCUGCCAGCAAGAGCAGGAAUGUAAAAAAUGGAUACCCUGUGUGGAAAUAGCCUCAGACUCAGACUGUGGCUGGAGAGAGGCAGACUGGUGAUGUGAUCAGCCUGCAGCCAUGGAACGAAGCAAGACAACACUCCGUGGUAGGUAGAUCUUGUUUGCAUAUCAAUUACAAGAAGAGAGCCUGCAAGUGUCGUCCCAGGAGACUGAAUGGUGAGUGUUUUGCAGACCAAAUACUGGAAGGUACACAGACAAUCCUUGGGACCACUGUCAGAA
rnacentral:lncRNA from 12 species